GGACGCUUAGCUCAGCGGUAGAGCACUCCCCUUACACGGGAGUGGUCACAGGUUCGAAUCCUGUAGCGUCCAC
rnacentral:tRNA from 1 species